rnacentral:rRNA from 1 species
AAUGAACGCUGGUGGCAGACCUAACACAUGCAAGUCGAACGGUCUAUAAUUAAACUUUCGGUUUUUUAUAGAUAGUGGACGAAACGGGUGAAGUAAAGCAGUGGGAAUCUACCUAGUAAGUUUGGAAUAGCUAUUAGAAAUGAUAGAUAAUAACCAAAUACACCUCGAGAGGGAAAGUUGACUUCGGUCUUCGUCUUUUAGAUGACGCCCAUAGUUAAAUUAGUUAGUUGGUAGGUAAUGGCCUACCAAGAUGAUGAUUUAUAGCUGGUCUUAGAGGAUGAUCAGCCACACUGGAAUUGAGAUACGGUCCAGACUCCUACGGGAGGCAGCAGUGGGGAAUAUUGGACAAGUGGGCGCAAGCCUGAUCCAGUCAUGCCACGUGAGUGAUGAAGUCUUAGG